AGGCCUUCCCAAAGGAGCAGUACGUUUCUCAAGACAGAGAUUAUACGCUGGAUUUUGUCUUCCAACUGCUUGGUUGUGUUGUGUAUGUGCCUCGGUUUCCUCUUCUGUAAACAGAAUCAUCAUCAUAAUCAUCCUAUCUCAUCAGUUAAAAACAAACAAACAAACAAAAAAACUGAGCAAAUGGCCAUUCAUGUAUUUUCAACAUAUAUGUGUAAUCGGAAGCCCCACCCAGGUGGAAGAUGGUGACUACAUGCUGAGCACAAGCAUAUGUAGACCCUAGACUGGCUGGAACCAGGAAGUUGAUGAUUAAGCUUCCCGUAACACCCAAAACACCCCGUCACCUCACCACCAAAAGAUCAGAAGAAAGUCAUGCACCUUGCAACCCCCACCCCCAAAUUUGCCUUUAAAAAUCCUUCCCUGAAAGCCAUCGGGGAGUUUGG